GAACGCUGGCGGCGUGCUUAACACAUGCAAGUCGAACGAUGAAGCCCUUCGGGGUGGAUUAGUGGCGAACGGGUGAGUAACACGUGGGCAAUCUGCCCUGCACUCUGGGACAAGCCCUGGAAACGGGGUCUAAUACCGGAUACGAGCCUGGGAGGCAUCUCCCGGGUUGGAAAGCUCCGGCGGUGCAGGAUGAGCCCGCGGCCUAUCAGCUUGUUGGUGAGGUAACGGCUCACCAAGGCGACGACGGGUAGCCGGCCUGAGAGGGCGACCGGCCACACUGGGACUGAGACACGGCCCAGACUCCUACGGGAGGCAGCAGUGGGGAAUAUUGCACAAUGGGCGAAAGCCUGAUGCAGCGACGCCGCGUGAGGGAUGACGGCCUUCGGGUUGUAAACCUCUUUCAGCAGGGAAGAAGCGAAAGUGACGGUACCUGCAGAAGAAGCGCCGGCUAACUACGUGCCAGCAGCCGCGGUAAUACGUAGGGCGCAAGCGUUGUCCGGAAUUAUUGGGCGUAAAGAGCUCGUAGGCGG
rnacentral:rRNA from 1 species